GUGGGGAAUAUUGGACAAUGGGCGAAAGCCUGAUCCAGCCAUGCCGCGUGUGUGAAGAAGGUCUUCGGAUUGUAAAGCACUUUAAGUUGGGAGGAAGGGCAGUAAGUUAAUACCUUGCUGUUUUGACGUUACCGACAGAAUAAGCACCGGCUAACUUCGUGCCAGCAGCCGCGGUAAUACGAAGGGUGCAAGCGUUAAUCGGAAUUACUGGGCGUAAAGCGCGCGUCGGUGGUUUUGUAAGUUGGAGGUGAAAUCCCCGGGCUCAACCUGGGAACGGCCUCCAAAACUGCAUGACUAGAGUACGGUAGAGGGUAGUGGAAUUUCCUGUGUAGCGGUGAAAUGCGUAGAUAUAGGAAGGAACACCAGUGGCGAAGGCGACUACCUGGACUGAUACUGACACUGAGGUGCGAAAGCGUGGGGAGCAAACAGGAUUAGAAACCCUGGUAGUCC
rnacentral:rRNA from 1 species